UUCUGUGUGCAUCAACAGUAUCGUAGCCGAUGAGGUUUAAUCGAGACGUGAUUAUUGCUUAUUGAAAACUUUUCCCGAUACCCUGCUUUGAUGACUUGAAAUAUAACUGGCAAUGGCAAUUUUUGACAGUUCCAGUGGGAA